GUGUCACCUGUCCACCACCAGGUGAGCCUCUGUAAACCAGCUGAGCCUCUGGUCCACCAGGUGCUCCCUCUCUGAUCUGGACUCUGUGUUUGUUUUGUCUCAGGUGGAGUCGUCGUCUCUGAACUCUCUCAGCAGACGGACUCUGUGAACCAGAACCAAGGUCUCUCACCUGCUCCUCAACACUUCUCACACACUGCUGCAGAUCAUCAUGGGGGGGCCGCUGAAGACCUCCAGACUCUGGUGG